AUUAGAGUUUGAUCCUGGCUCAGAACGAACGCUGGCGGCAGGCUUAACACAUGCAAGUCGAGCGCCCCGCAAGGGGAGCGGCAGACGGGUGAGUAACGCGUGGGAAUCUACCCAUCCCUACGGAAUAGCUCCGGGAAACUGGAAUUAAUACCGUAUACGCCCUACGGGGGAAAGAUUUAUCGGGGAUGGAUGAGCCCGCGUUGGAUUAGCUAGUUGGUGGGGUAAAGGCCUACCAAGGCGACGAUCCAUAGCUGGUCUGAGAGGAUGAUCAGCCACAUUGGGACUGAGACACGGCCCAAACUCCUACGGGAGGCAGCAGUGGGGAAUAUUGGACAAUGGGGGCAACCCUGAUCCAGCCAUGCCGCGUGAGUGAAGAAGGCCUUCGGGUUGUAAAGCUCUUUCAGGUGGAAAGAAAACGCAUGGGUCAAUACCCUGUGUGGAUGACGGUACCAUCAGAAGAAGCACCGGCUAACUACGUGCCAGCAGCCGCGGUAAUAAU
rnacentral:rRNA from 1 species